GUGCGGUGGCUCCAUUGCCGGCCGGAAUGAAGCUGGCCGGCGACGACAGACUUCUCGAUUCCGAGCACCGUUUCGCGAAAAGAAAACACCACGGAGUAGAGGAGCUCACCGCGAGUUCAAGGAGGUGCUCGGUUGAGACCGAAGGGCAAGGAGCGGGGCUCGCGGCGCGCGGCAGUCGUCUCCGACCUCGGCGAGAUCCAACCCGCGCAGACACGGUAGCUAGGGCUCGGUUUCGGCGACUUGGAUGCGAAAGGAGAGCUUCGGGGUUGGUUUGAGGGUUUUAUAGGGGCAUGACCCGCGGAUUGGAAGGAAUACCGAGGAAACCGGGAUUUCCUUCGUUCGGUCUCCGGUUCUGUUACGGUGGAGAAGAAGAACAGGGCGCUGACAGGUGGGCCCGGGGUCUUGGGCCUCGGCCUGCUGCUGGCUGCGGCUGGAAGGCUUUUUUUUUUCUAUUUCCAAUUUCUUUUCUGUUUUGUUUUAUUCUCUUUUUUUUCAAAGCCUUUUUCAAAAAGGAUUUUGAGGACAAUUAAAUAUAAACCAAAUACAAUCAUCACAAAAUAAAAUAUGUUUCAGCAUGAAUGCACAAAAUCAUGUUACUAAGCUUAUGAUAAAUUUUAAAUUUCCACAAAAAUUGUUUAUUUGCUACAUUAAAUGCUCACUAAAAUUCUUAAAUAAUUCAAAUUAAAUCCUAUUAAUUGAAAUUCAAAUUUUGGGUGUUACACCUAAUCCAGGCAAUAUUUCAGAAGUUUCUUCAGGUAAUAUUUUAUAUAAUAGUCGAUAUGACAAACCUCUUUACUUACAUUAACUUAUUUCCAUGAAUCCAGAUCUUCAAAUUCUUGAAAUCACUUCACCAGCUAUUCCUAGCUCGGCAAUGGUCUCAACAGAAGAGGUAUGCUAAAUCAUUUAUCUUCAUUUGCUGAUAUCUUCUAACAAGUAUUAAUUUGUUUGUCUAUUGCAGGAACAGGUUUCUUCACCUGAUUUUCCCUUUGCUUUGGAUGAGUAUCUUGAUGAAGAACCAAUCCUAAUCUUAGAAGACACACCUCCAACCAUACCUGAUUUCAUUAAAGCCCAACUGCAAAGAUUGAAUGAUCACCUAGAGCUGG
rnacentral:lncRNA from 1 species